rnacentral:rRNA from 1 species
ACGCUCGACACCUACGUGAGGCAGCAGUGGGGAAUAUUGGGCAAUGGGCGCAAGCCUGACCCAGCAACGCCGCGUGAAGGAAGAAGGCUUUCGGGUUGUAAACUUCUUUUAUUAAGGACGAAGCAAUGACGGUACUUAAUGAAUAAGCUCCGGCUAACUACGUGCCAACAGCCGCGGUAAUCUGAGCGGGCUGGCAAGGC